GGUAUUAAUUUUGAAUAUUCAGAUGUUUAUACAUGGUCCCAUCGAUCAAGUCAUUGUCUUGCCAAGAUUUAAUCAAGGAAUUAAUUUUCAAACUUACUUUUUUCUAGGAUCUUUUUCCAGUUUAUCAUAAGUAGAUCGAUCAUUAAGUAACAAAUUCAUUUUACUAAAAUAAUUAUUCGUGUCCAUAAUCACGGUAGCCUGACCUUUAUCAGCCCUUGUGACCAAUAUGUCCAUAUUACACGACAAAAACUUUUAACAUUCUCCAUAACAUUGUUUGGAAGGUUUUUGCAACUGAGGUUUACAAGCCACUUUGACCGAUCAAUUCUUUUUAACGGAUUUGGAGAAAUGUAUUUCAUACUAUUAAACCGUUGAACUUAUUAAUAGACUAGGUUUUCAUUACAUGGUUAAAUGUUACCAAUUUACGCUUAUUAAAACCGAAAAUCUUAACAACAAAUCAUGUGGGACCUGAUCAUACAGUCUUUUUUCGAUAUUAUCUAAUAAUGACCGAAAAUACUUCAAGUUAAUAUUCAAAUCUUUAAUCUUCAAGUUCAACAGUCUAAAUCCAUUCCGUCUCACAAUUAAGCCAUAUUUAUGAUUGAUAACAUUACUAUAAGAAAGAAUGUUUAUUCUUGAGUAAUUUAUGAGGUGGUAAAAUCUCAUAUCUUUUUCACCGAAGUAAGAAAAUUAACUGUUGUUUCAAUGUAAUUAUCCUCUUUUUGUUGCUAGCCAUGCUUUCAAGAGAGACGUGUACUGUUAAAGAUAGUAAGUUAUUGAUCUCACUUGAUGUUAAAUUAUUAUUCACGAAUAUCCUGAAGGAUCUUGUCCUUGAUUCUAUUAAAAAAAGAUGGAGUGAAAUUUCAUGGUUAAAUUGCUGAGUCAUCCAAUUUAUGGAAAAUAUUUCAUGAAAUAUGAUUCGGAUUUUCAUUAUCACUUUAAUGCCGAUGGUUUCUUAAAACGAUUGAUUGAAUGCCAAGGAUUUAAAAUUAAGUACUACCAUUUUAGAGAGGAAGUAAUAUAUCAAUCUGAUUAUAUUUUACCGAAUAGCAUCUUUGAGCUUCCUUUCAUACAUGAACUGACACCUGAACAACAAAACGACCUUAAGAACAUAUUAAAAGAGAAAUGGAAAAAAAUGGAAAAAAUGUUUCAUCGAGCUUCAUAUCGAGUUUCAUAUUCCAAUGACCCAGAAUAUGGCUCAGAAUGUAACGAUUUAUUCGAUAUUGUACAAGCAUUACAUAUAAAUCGUAAUACCUAUUAGAUU